rnacentral:rRNA from 1 species
CGAAAGCCUGACGGAGCAACGCCGCGUGGGUGAUGAAGGCCCUUGGGUCGUAAAACCCUUUUGUCGGGGACGAUAAUGACGGUACCCGAUGAAUAAGCAUCGGCUAACUCUGUGCCAGCAGCCGCGGUAAUACAGAGGAUGCAAGCGUUAUCCGGAAUUAUUGGGCGUAAAGCGUACGUAGGCGGCUAUUCAAGUCUGGGGUUAAAGCCCGCAGCUCAACUGCGGAAAGGCCUCGGAAACUGGAUGGCUAGAGUGCGGUAGAGGCAAGGGGAAUUCCCGGUGUAGCGGUGAAAUGUGGAGAUAUCGGGAAGAACACCAGCGGCGAAAGCGCCUUGCUGGACCGCAACUGACGCUGAGGUACGAAAGCCAG